GGCGCCUGCACGCACUCAGCGCGCAGGCUGGUUCAACCGAACUCGGGAACGCUCCGACCGCACAAUUCCUAACCAGAAAUCGGUUAGGCAUUUUCCCGAACUGAAGAACGCAGAGAUGCUAUCCGCCUCCUGAUAACAGGAAGUUUACCAGGGACCAGAAGCGAGGUGGCCGGAGCCCUUGUGCAGUGGGAGUGACAGUUACCCGGGCCCGCACUCCCCUGUCCUCCCGGCUCCGGCCGCAGACGCCCCCACGCCGCCAGCCCCGCCACAGAACCGCGGAAAGCUGGCAGGAGAGCACGGGGCCUCCGGAGACCCGGCCGCAGGCCCGUGGGCGCCGCGACGGCGAGGACGAGGGGAAUAUUUUCUGUUCUCGGUUGCUGGAAUCCACAGAUGUAGAACCCAUGGACACAGGACCAACUGUAGACAACCACAGGAGGUGUUGUCAGGCAUAAUUUAGCUAUUUCCUAAAAUGGACAAAAUUGGAAGCACUGGUUAUGACCCCAAGGCUUUGCCUGGAAUAUCAUAUUUGAGAAUGAUGUUCAUUUGAUCAGAAAUGACCUGAUACUUCUAAGGAACUAAGGUUGAUUUUAUGGAGCCAAUGGUUACAAAGCCUUCUUGGGAAAACUGACCUGGUACUUGUUUGCCGAGUUCCCAGCCUUACAGCAUUACCAAGCACUAAAACUUGUCUACCUGGAUCCUAUCAGCACUUCAGGUUGCCUUGCAGCUGGCCUUUCCCCCCAGAAUCUGAAGAAGCUCUGCAAGCUGUAGCCUAGUGACUUGGCAGCAACCUUUAAGGACCCAGCUCCACAGCAGACCAUGCACAGGCUGGAAUUCUCCCUGGACAAGCUGCUGCUGGACCACUAAGGAAGGCCAACAAAAUACUUGGAUCACACGUGCCCGUGAAUGAAAGGUAGCCAAGACGACACACAACAUCACCAAGAGUAUGGCCAUCUUAGCUUUGAGAAACUCAAGGAGUGGUGCUGCAAGAUUUUCUUCCUCUAGAAUCCCCUGGACUGGUGAAUUCUCAAGGUUCAACUCCUGGCUCUUUACCUUAAUACAAUUCUUAUACUAUUAUGUCUCUAUUUUAGGCAUCCCUCUUUUAAGAUAUCUGAUCUCCAGGACCAUAAAACAACUGACCUCUGCCCCACCUCUCAACAGAUGCGCCACCAGUUUUAGAAGAACAACACCAGCGAGAACUCUGGAGAGACUGUUUCUUAGGCCCUGCUUCCUGCCCCUUGGGAGACUUAUGCUUGCCUCUGAGUUGUUCAGUGACAAAAGAUAGUCAUCUGGAACAGGGAGGCGGGACUGACAUUACUGAGCGUUACCUGAGCUCUGUGCAACUUCAGCAGUGAUGCUUAAGAAAUCCCCGGACCCCUCUGUGCCUUGGAAAUGACAAGCCAGCUAACCACAAAGGACCACACUGCCCUCAGAGUCUCCAAGGGAAGUCUCAACUCCAUCCUUUCUCAUGACUCCUCUCCAGUGAGGACCUCCCUUUGAUGGCAGCCGGCACGUUGCCCCCGACUGCCCGGCUGGAAUAACAACCAACUGUGCCCUGAUACUCUGUUCAGCCCUCCUGAGGACAACUACCCUUUCGACAGCUCAGGACAUGAGUAAACAGAGAAGGACAGCAUGGCCCUAGUUGC